rnacentral:rRNA from 1 species
UACGUAGGGGGCAAGCGUUGUCCGGAAUCAUUGGGCGUAAAGAGCGUGUAGGCGGCCCGGUAAGUCCGCUGUGAAAGUCCAGGGCUCAACCCUGGGAUGCCGGUGGAUACUGUCGGGCUCGAGUCCGGAAGAGGAGUGUGGAAUUCCGUGGUGUAGCGGUGAAAUGCGCAGAUAUCAGGAGGAACACCAAUGGCGAAGGCAGCACUCUCGGGACGUGACUGACGCUGAGACGCGAAAGCGUGGGGAGCAAACAGG